GCGGGCGCGGGAGGCAGGCGCUGGUUCGGGAGGCAGGCCCUGGUUCGGCGGGCGGGGGCGCGUGAGAGAAGGCCGCCGCUCUCCGCCUCGCUCAGACGCCCUCGCCUCUUUUCCCGGGAAGUGGAGGCCAGCCUCGCCCCACUAGCCGCCGCCGCCGCCAGCGAGGCUGCCCUACGCCGUGUGCCUGGCGGUGAGAGCUCAUCCAUCGGCAUGUCCCCGCAGCGAGCGGCCGCCGACGGCUCCCCGCGCCGGGCGCGCCUGCUCCUCGCCGCCGCCUGACAUGGCUCCCGGGCGCCCUAGGCCCUGUUCGCGCACACUGCCGGGCUUGCGCGCAGACUCGGUUCCGCUGAUUUGGGGUUCUUAGUGCUCAGUUUUAACAUUUCUCAUUCCCAUAUACAAGGACACUUGAGACAUGAAUGUGGCCAAUGACUUGAUGCUCAUGUGUGUUGUCAGCUGAGCCUUCAAGAGCAUCACCUUCCAGCUGGGGAGGGUUCUUCAUUCCAGGAGGCUCUAAACCCAGCUCUGAAAAUGAAACCACACCUAACAGCGUUCACUGUCAUCCAUGAUCUUACUGUGACUUUCUCUUCCACCCAGGAGGAUCAUCAGAGAAGGAAAAUGGCCUUGAACAAGAAAGUCCAAGGGAAAAACAACUUGGGUGUGAGAGGCCUACGUUGGAUCACCGGAGGCCAGUAGUUCCCAAUCAGCCUGGGAAGAAUAGUAAGACGUUUUCUCUCCUAAAAAGAGAAAGAGAAAGAGAAAGAGGAAGAGAAGGAGAAGGAGAAAGAGAAGGAGAAAGGAAAAGGAAACAAAAAACAAAAAACAAAAAACCAACAACUCAGUUUUAUUUUUCUGUAGUAUUUCUAUUCUUCAGUUGAUUGACUUCUGCAUUGAUUUUUGUUUCCUUUCUUUAGUGAACUUUGGAUUUAUUUUGUUGUUUUUUUUCCU